ensembl:lncRNA
AUAGUCAUAGCGCCACCUACUGGCAACAGGAAGUGACAUAUUUUUACACUGUAACAAACUACCCCGAGAAAUUUUAUGACAUACAUUUUUUUUUCAGUCACUCUAUUCUAAAGGCCUGUGCGAUGUUAAAUUGUGAAGAUCUUGAGUUUUCGUUAAAGGGCGUGUCCAUGGCGCCGUCACAAAAUUCGAUGUCUCGCCAUGGGAAUAAAAGUUAUUGUAACUCAGGCAUAAAAUGUCCGAUCUUGCCCAAACUUCACAUGUUCGAAAAGAGUCUUGGCCUGAACACAUCUGAAGGUCAUUAUUCCACUAUAAUCAUAGCGCCACCUGCUGACAACAGAAAAUGGCUUAUUUUACACUAACUUAAACAUGCAAUGUCCAAUCUGCACCAAACUUCAAAUAUUUGAUAAGAGUCAUGGCCUGAAGAUAUCUAAAG